GGUGAAAUUCUCAGAUUAACUAAAGACUAACUUAUGCGAAAGCAUUUGCCAAGGAUGUUUUCAUUAAUCAAGAACGAAA
rnacentral:rRNA from 1 species